rnacentral:lncRNA from 10 species
GAGCACGGGCCUUCCCCCAAGCCCAGGUCUUCAACAGGCCUUUCCCCAACUCUCCCAGGACCACCUGAAGCCAGCCCCCAGCUGCAAAGGCAUUAUUGGACCUCAGGCCCAAAGCAGCCCGGCCUCCAGGUCCCUGGCAUCAAUCCUCGUGUUCCAAACCCCGUGGUCUGCCUGGGGCUAGGGGACGUGAUCCUCUUCCAGCUUCAUAUUCUUCCCCACAGUGAGUGCCGCCCACUGAGCUCAACUGGCCUCCCUCCGGGUUGGGCCCUCUGAUCCCUCCCCUGGCCUUCUGGGUGGCCUUGCCUAAGAACAGGCCUCGUCAGUGCAGGAAUCCCAGACCUGCACUGUCCCCGGUUAUUCACUUCACCGUGGGCUGCAUUUCCACGUGUGUAGAAUCAGGGAGUUGGGACAGGUGUUCCUGCUCCGACAUUCUGCGGCAGUGGGACCUCUUUACUUCAGGGCGGUGGGGACUCACCCAGGCCAAGCGUACCACUGCCUGGGGCCCCAGGCCUCCCAGAGCUUCCCAAAGCCCGGCAACCCUUGCAGGGGCAAGCACCAGCCGUGCCAUACAGUCAUCCUGCAGGGCUGGACCCCAAAACACCACAGACCGCUCUGCUUUGGGGUGCCUCAGUUGAUAAAGAACGUCUUCCUCAUGAUGAGCUGAAGCCUGUGUUCUCGCUGCGGCCCCACCCCUGGGAACCUGCAGAGCAGGCCUGAUCCCUUCUCCCUGAGAGAACGGGGCACUCACGUCUCUCCCAGCUGUGACUGCAUCCUCUCCACACACGGCAUGCUCCUUCCAUCCACUGAACGCUGGUCCUGGAGCCCUCAGCAACCCCAGCUCCCUCCCAUUCUCCUCGACCAACACUGGCAACCUGCAGCAAAGAGGGAAAUGAACCCCGGGAAAUGCGCUCUUCAGGCCCUGCAUUCAUCCCCCAGACCGCUCGGCCAGCCACUACCCUGUGUACCAGAAGCAGCAUCUGUUCAACAGCAACCCCCACUGGGACUCCGGGGCCUUCCGCAGACUCAGCCACCUGGUGCGAGAGACACACCUCAACUUCUCAAGGGGUGCUGCUGGCUGCUGGCUUGGCGACUGUGCUGUUGACGGGCCUGGGCCUCCUGCUGAGUCCUUCCCUGCCCCAUGCCUGCCCCAUGCAGGCUUGGAAGCCUCGGUGGAGAAGCCUGGGACAGCCUCAGGUGCCUGCUGAGUAUGUGAUCCUUAGGGACAGCCUCCUGUUCUAUGAAGACCUUGGCCCUCGGGGAUCUGGGGAAGGAGCUGACUCUGAGAAGGCCAUGAGCCGGGGUACAGGUACCAUGCUGGUGUGCAGUCAACCCCUCUUCAGCAAUACUUGUUAUUUUCCUUUUACUAGAUAGUAAGUAUGCUACUAGGUGCAUAUAUAUACAAUGAUAUCGUUUUGUACUUUUGAUUUGCAUUCUUCCCUAAUGAUUAGUCAUAUUGAGCAUCUUUUUAUGUGCUUAUUGGCCCUUCGUAUAUCUUCUUUUGAGAAAUGUCUAUUGGAGUUCUUUGUCCAGUUUUGAAUUAAGUUGUUUGGUUUUUGUGGUUGUUGUUGUUGAGUUUUAAGAGUUCUCUACGUAUCAUAUACAUGAUUUGACAAUAUUUUCUGUGAUUCUGUGGGUUGCCUUUUUACUCUGUUUAUAGCGGUUUUUGAUGCAUGAAAUGUUUUCUAAGUCAUGAAAUUCAGUUUGCAAAUUUUUUCUUUUAUUGCCUGCGUCUUUGGUAUUGAAUUCAAAAAUUCAUUGCCGAAUUCAAUAUUGUGAUUUUUGUCCAGUGUUUUCUUCUAAGAAUGUUAUUGUUUUAGGUCAUACAUUUAGGUCUUUGAUCCAUGUUAGCUAAUCUUUGUGUGUAGUGUUAGGAAGGAAUCCAACUUCAUUCUUUUGCAUGUGGAUAUCUAGUUCCCUCAACACAAUUUAUUGAAAAGACUGUCCUUUUCCCUCCUGAAGGGUCUUGGGUUCCUUGUCAAAGGUGAUUUGACUGUAUCUGAAAGGGGUUAUUUCUGGCCUCUCAAUCCUUUUACUAGUUACAGGUCUAUUCAGAUUUUCUAUUUCUUCAUGAUUUAGUCAUGGUGGGUUUUGUGUUUCCAGGAACUUGUCCAUUUCGUCUAGGUUGUCUUAAUUUGUUGGCAUACAGUUGUUCACAGUACUCUUAUCAUCCUUUUUUGUUUUUGUAG